CUCCUGGGUUCAAGCGACUCUACUGCCUCAGCCUCCUGAAUAGCCAGGACUACAGGGGCGUGCCACCACACCUGGCUAACUUUUGUAGUUUUUGUUUGUUGUUUUUUUUGAGACGACGUCUCACUCUGUCACCCAGGCUGGGGUGCAGUGGCUUGAUCUCAGCUAACUGCAACCUCUGCCACCCUGGUUCAAGCAAUUCUCCUGCCUCAGCCUCUCAAGUAGCUGGGAUUACAGGCUCCUGCCACCGUGCCUGGCUAAUUUUUGUAUUUUUAGUAGAGAUGGGAUUUCAUCAUGUUGGCCAGGCUGGUCUUGAACUCCUGACCUGUGAUCCCCCAGCGUUGGCCUCCCAAAGUGCUGGGAUUACAGGCAUGAGCCACCAUGCCCGGCCAAUAGUGAUUAUUUCUAGAUGGCAGAACUGAAAUGACUUUAUUUCCUUUCAUCUAUAGGGUCUAG
rnacentral:lncRNA from 1 species